UCUACUUCUUAAGAAAUAAACGUCUAUCGAGUAUAUAUUACUAAAGCCUGUGAGUUUUUUUUCUUGUGAUGUUAUUUUAAUUUAACUUAAACUACAUUACGCUAUGUUUUAUGCAAUAAAACAGUAAAGAGGUUUUCUAUAGGUGAAUUUUUACCUAUGUCAUUCGCGCGUUUGUCAAAUUGACUGAUGUGUAUGUGUACAUAGAGUGAGGUUAAUUUUGGGUUUAUUAUUGUUGAAUAGAUAAGUUUAUUUUGGCAGAGAAGAGAAAACGAGGAUAAACCUUUCUUGCAGAAGAAAAAGACAAGCUAGUGAAAUUGCUGACGUCUCAUAGAGACACAAUAUUAAACAAAAAACGGAUGGGACCACGAACGAAGCCAAAAACAAAGCUUGGAUCCAGUUACAAAUAGUUUUAAUGCGAUAGGAACCGUUUACAGUUUCAGGUGGUGCGAGAAAUUGGAAAGACGUGUAAAAACAUGCUGCGCCCAGCCCACCUCAAAUUGAAUUGGUGCAGGAGGAUGAUGAUAAUGUUUGGUACAUCAUAUGAGGACUAAUAUUAAAAUAUUUGUUUAC